rnacentral:rRNA from 1 species
CCUACGGGAGGCAGCAGUGGGGAAUAUUGCACAAUGGGCGCAAGCCUGAUGCAGCGACGCCGCGUGGGGGAUGAAGGCCUUCGGGUUGUAAACCCCUUUCAGCAGGGAAGAAGCGAAAGUGACGGUACCUGCAGAAGAAGCGCCGGCUAACUACGUGCCAGCAGCCGCGGUAAUACGUAGGGCGCAAGCGUUGUCCGGAAUUAUUGGGCGUAAAGAGCUCGUAGGCGGUUUGUCGCGUCUGCUGUGAAAGUCCGAGGCUCAACCUCGGAUCUGCAGUGGGUACGGGCAGACUAGAGUGUGGUAGGGGAGACUGGAAUUCCUGGUGUAGCGGUGGAAUGCGCAGAUAUCAGGAGGAACACCAAUGGCGAAGGCAGGUCUCUGGGCCACAACUGACGCUGAGGAGCGAAAGCAUGGGGAGCGAACAGGAUUAGAUACCCUGGUAGUCCAUGCCGUAAACGGUGGGCACUAGAUGUGGGGCUCUUUCCAUGUAGUUCGUCGUCGCNGCUACGCAUAGUACGCCCGCCGUCGGGAGGUACGGCCGCGACGACGUAAACGUUAAAGUAAGUAGUAGACGCGNGAGACGCGACGACGACGACGACGGAGGAGGAGG